rnacentral:rRNA from 1 species
CGGGUUGUAAAGCACUUUCAGUCGUGAGGAAGGUAGUGUAGUUAAUAGCUGCAUUAUUUGACGUUAGCGACAGAAGAAGCACCGGCUAACUCCGUGCCAGCAGCCGCGGUAAUACGGAGGUGCGAGCGUUAAUCGGAAUUACUGGGCGUAAAGCGCAUGCAGGUGGUUUGUUAAGUCAGAUGUGAAAGACCCGGGGCGUCAACCUACCGGAAUUGCAUUUAGUAAACUGGCAAACUAAGAGUACUGUAGAGGGGGGUAGGAAUUUCAGGUGUAGCGGUGAAAUGCGUAGAGAUCUGAAGGAAUACCGGUGGCGAAGGCGGCCCCCUCGGACAGAUACUGACACUCAGAUGCGAAAGCGUGGGGAGCAAACAGGAUUAGAUACCCUGGUAG